AGAAGUCCAGGGCUAGGAGCCUCAGCCGGCGGACGCCAGGAAACAGAUCUGAGAGCUGAGAAGUCCAAGAUGAAGUCUCUGGCAGAUUUGAUGUCUGCCAAGAACUGAACCAAAAUACAAACAACAUAAACUACCACUUGAUGAGAAGAACUUCAAAGUCAAAUUGCAAAAGGUGACUAAAAAAGGAGAGUACUUUCAGCCGUUUUCAAAAUAAUCUAUGAUAUGUACUGGAAAACUUCUAAUAAUCCUUGUCAUUUUACAACUUUCCCACAGUUAGAUCAUCAGCAAAUGUCACUUGGAUCCCUAGCUAAAUUGUUCUUCCCAGAAAAUAGUUAUCUCCACUAUGGAAAGUAUUUUAUCAGAAGAAUUCGUAGAAGUAGAAUCUGUUUGUCUUCAGUUAAACAAAAGAAGAACCUCAUUGCUUUCCAACUGGGCCCCGGCCAUUUUCCAGUUGAAACAUCAAAUAUUUUAUUUGUGUCUUUCACUGCCAAUUAAAGGGCAACAGAAAUGGUACAGGCUCCCUCUGCAGUGGAAUUACCCUUAUGUCUUUUCUGUCUAUGCUGAUCCACCUGAUCUUGAACUGGUGCUAUUCCAUGGGGAAAAUUGGAACAUGGGGCAAUUAACACUUUCUCCACUUUAUCCCAUCAACAGGAAAUUGAAAUAUGACCAACUAACUCAGGAGACAUCAUGGAAGAUGUCACACAGUGAAUGAUGAUGAAGCAGAAUUUUUAAAAUGUGUAGGAUUACGAGAAGUGGGGUCAUUUUUCUUUGUGUAUGGUAUUGCUGAUGCAGUUUAAUGCUCCAUUACUUCUAAAUUUUCAUCAUAAGCUAGAUUUUCCAGUUGUGGUUUCUAUAAAGAAAAACAAACAUUCUGAAGACAGUUUUUCCAGAUUUAUUCCAGAUAUCGAUGAUUAACUUUUGAAGCUCCUCUGUUGAUUUGAACAUCCGCUGAAGCUUAUUUUUCACCUCAGAAUAGCAUCAACAUUAUUUGAAAUUCAAUUGUACUUUCUCGUUACAUUAAUAAAUCAUGGAAGUUGAGAAAA
rnacentral:sRNA from 1 species